rnacentral:rRNA from 1 species
AACGCUGGCGGCAGGCCUAACACAUGCAAGUCGAACGCUCUCUUCGGACCUAGUGGCGAACGGGUGAGUAACGCGUGGGAACCUACCCUUGGGUACGGGACAACCCCGGGAAACCGGGGCUAAUACCGUAUACGCCCUGCGGGGGAAAGAUUUAUCGCCCAGGGAUGGGCCCGCGUCGGAUUAGGUUGUUGGUGGGGUAACGGCCCACCAAGCCUGCAAUCCGUAGCUGGUCUGAGAGGAUGAUCAGCCACACUGGGACUGAGACACGGCCCAGACUCCUACGGGAGGCAGCAGUGGGGAAUAUUGGACAAUGGGGGCAACCCUGAUCCAGCCAUGCCGCGUGAGUGAAGAAGGCCCUUGGGUUGUAAAGCUCUUUCAGCGGGGAAGAUGAUGACGGUUCCCUUCAGAGGAAGCCCCGGCUAACUCCGUGCCAGCAGCCGCGGUAAUACGGAGGGGGCAAGCGUUGUUCGGAAUUACUGGGCGUAAAGGGCGCGUAGGCGGUCUGUUGCGUCAGGUGUGAAAGCCCUGGGCUCAACCUAGGAGGGGCACUUGAUACGGGCAGACUAGAAUCCGGGAGAGGAUGGUGGAAUUCCCAGUGUAGAGGUGAAAUUCGUAGAUAUUGGGAGGAACACCAGUGGCGAAGGCGGCCAUCUGGACCGAUACUGACGCUGAGGCGCGAAAGCGUGGGGAGCAAACAGGAUUAGAUCCCCUGGUAGUCCACGCCGUAAACGAUGUGUGCUAGAUGUCGGGCAGCUUGCUGUUCGGUGUCGCCGCUAACGCGUUAAGCACCCCGCCUGGGGAGUACGGUCGCAAGAUUAAAACUCAAAGGAAUUGACGGGGGCCCCGCACAAGCGGUGGAGCAUGUGUUUAAUUCGAAGCAACGCGCAGAACCUUACCAGCCCUUGACAUACCAAUCGCGGUUACCGGAGACGGUUUCCUUCAGUUCGGCUGGAUUGGAUACAGGUGCUGCAUGGCUGUCGUCAGCUCGUGUCGUGAGAUGUUGGGUUAAGUCCCGCAACGAGCGCAACCCUCGCCUUUAGUUGCCAUCAUUUAGUUGGGCACUCUAGAGGAAACUGCCGGUGAUAAGCCGGAGGAAGGUGGGGAUGACGUCAAGUCCUCAUGGCCCUUAUGGGCUGGGCUACACACGUGCUACAAUGGCAGUGACAAUGGGUCGCUACCCUGCGAGGGGAAGCUAAUCUCAAAAAACUGUCUCAGUUCGGAUUGUUCUCUGCAACUCGAGAGCAUGAAGUUGGAAUCGCUAGUAAUCGUAGAUCAGCACGCUACGGUGAAUACGUUCCCGGGCCUUGC